GACGUAGGGUGCGAGCGUUGUCCGGAUUUAUUGGGCGUAAAGAGCUCGUAGGCGGCUCGUCGCGUCGACCGUGAAAACCCGCGGCUUAACUGCGGGCUUGCGGUUGAUACGGGCGGGCUAGAGUUCGGUAGGGGAGACUGGAAUUCCUGGUGUAGCGGUGAAUGCGCAGAUAUCAGGAGGAACACCGGUGGCGAAGGCGGGUCUCUGGGCCGAUACUGACGCUGAGGCGCGAAAGCUAGGGGAGCGAACGGG
rnacentral:rRNA from 1 species